rnacentral:rRNA from 1 species
AACUCUCAACAACGGAUAUCUUGGCUCUCAGAUCGAUGAAGAACGCAGCGAAAUGCGAUACGUAGUG